ensembl:lncRNA
AGCGGACACAGUGUGGUCAUCGACUGCGCCUGGUGUUCUGAGCAGUCACUUUUACUUCUGUCCUCCUUGGGGUCCUCAGAGCCGUCGCUGGCCCUGCAGCCCAGCAGCUCAGUUCCUCUAGGAGCCCUCGGGCGGCCAUGUCCCUGGGCCUCAGGAGGAGGCAGCGCCUCAGGGGUCACCCCUCGCACCCUGGCUCCCCCAGCCUUCUUCCUGGCUCCCUGCUCUGGCGCAGCAGCGCCUGCCUCAACUUGCAGGUACAGAAAGCCCUCAAAAGGCAAAACACCGGAAUUCUCAUACACCCAGUAAUUCUGCUCUGAGGAGUGUGCCCCAAAGUGCCCAGGAGGUCUGGGCACAUGCCUGUCAUCCCAGCACUCGGGAGGCUGAGGCAGGAGGAUCGCUGAGUUCGAGGGCAGUCUCACAUAGGGAGACGCUGUCUCAAAAAAUGAAAAGCAAAGCAUUGAAAACAGGGGACAGUUGCACAUGUUGGGGACUGCACCACGACUCCUACCCUGACGGGCUGACUGCCACCCCACCCUGCUGCUCAUUCACGAUUGCUCUUCGGUCACAGCGGAAUGUAGCCCAGUGCAGGAGGUGCCUCACCUGGCAGGCAGUUCCCAUGGUUCUGACCAGGCUGUGCUGAGCUCAAUUAAUCGUCAAGCCUCCCAGGUGCCGGGAUCACUGUGCCUGGCCAAUAGUGGACUCCUGUGCCGACUCCAGUUUGCUGGAUGUCCAUGUGGCGUUAUUCACAGUGGCCAUGGCCGGAAGCCACCCACAGGGCCACAGCAGAACACGGACCAGGACAGACAGGAUCCAAGUGAGGUCCAGCUACCAGCACCCCUGUCCGCAGGUGACAACCGCAGGGAGGCCAGCCUGGGGGACCCCGCUUGGCCCUGGUGCCCCUCCUUUCCCCAGAGCCCUGGCAUUCCUCAGACACGGUCUCCUUGUUUAGCCCAAGCUGGCCUCAAACUUGUGGCAAUCCUGCCUCUGCCUCCCAGGUGCCGGGAUUAUAGAUGUGCACCACAGCUCCCUGCUGGCUUUCAGUUUUAAAUUGAUUUUGCCUUUGAGAUGAUCCAGGAGAUUUGUACAGCUCUGAGACACUUCCUGUGACAGCCAGCAACCAGCUGCCCACCCUGCGCCUGACACUAGAGAGCUCGGGGCGUGCUGUCAGCAGGAGUGGGGACUCGGACAGAGAGGGGCAGGCGCAGCUUCGUCCCCUCUGCUGCAGUGUCCUGUGGUGAUGAGAAGUCACGCGGACCUUGCAGAAGGGUGAGCUCUCAGCAUUGCGCGGGCGCCACCGCAGGGCCCAGCUGGUGUUGGCCUGGCCCUGGGGCGUGCAUCCAUCUCCUGCUGCGAACCUGCCUCCGCCUGCCAUCUGUCCUCAUCUGCCUGUCGCCUACUAGCGGUGUAUCACCUCUUCAUUCAGGAUCUGCCUACUGCUAUCAGUCACCUAUCACUUACCUACUAUCCGUCCCCAUCUAUACACAGCCUUAUCUCCUCCUAGCCCCUAUCUGCCAUCUAUCUGCCUCUCACCUGUCUAUCAGCUGUCAUCUGUCUCCCACCUACCACCUGGUACAGUGGACCUUCCAGUUACCACCGGCCUGACAUACGAACAACUUGGGUUACAACGGGAAUGCACCAGGAAAUGAUUGGUGCUUCUGGUAAAUUACGCGAUUAUACAGCCCUUUUUUAUUAUGAAAAGGUUGGGUAAGGGGUGCUUUGAGAGGGCUUGGAAUGCUUUAUGGAUAUUUCCAUUAUUUCUUAUGGGAAAAAUAGUCUUGACUUGCAACCAACUUGAGUUACACCCAGCCCUGGAGAAAGAAUUGAGUGUGUGAGUCAAGGGUCCAUGGUAUCUACCUACCGCCUGUCUCCACCUGCUGUUACUUGUUUACUGUCUCCCCACUGCCCCACCUCUCCCUGCCCACCCUCAUCUCUGCCCUCGUCUGGGGGCGGGGGCUCCGAGGUGGGGUGUGGAGGAGCACGGGGAGGGGGACCCCAGAUAGAGCCACAGCUUCUUUGACGGUGCCUCAUUCCACCAUUCUGGCUUCGGAACCGCACUAGCACUUUACAGACCUUUAAAAAGCAACUUUUUGUUUGUUCAUUUGUUUGUUUUUUGGUACUGGGGAUCGAACUCGGGACCUUGUGAUUGCGAGGCAGGCACCAGAACCACUGAGCUAAAUCCCUGGCCCUAAGAAGCAACUUUUAAAUGACCAAACAAAGGGAGACCAGUGGGUAAAUAUUUGGGAGCCCGAAAACCAAAUGGGAACAGUUUCAAUUGACUUUUGUUGUUUUUAGUGCUGGGGAUAGAACCCAGGGCCUCGUGCAUGCCAGGCAAGGGCUCCACCACUGAGCUACAUCCUCAGCCCUUUUUAAAUUUUUUAAAUUAAUUAAUUUAAAUUAAAAAAUUUAAAAGGGUCUCGCUAAGUUUCCUAGGCUGGCCAUGAACUUACCACCCUCCUGCCUCGGCCUCCUGAGAAGCCAGGAUUACAGGUGUGCACCAUUGCCCUGGUUCCAAUGGACUUUUACAUGUUUGAGUUUUAAAGUUACCCUCAGUGGGGAGUGCAGGGCAAGAAGAACUAGAAAGAAAGAUGAAAGGAAGGAAGGGAG